AGAGUUUUUUCCUGGCUCAGAGUGAACGCUGGCGGUAGGCCUAACACAUGCAAGUCGAGCGGUAGCACAGAGAGCUUGCUCUCGGGUGACGAGCGGCGGACGGGUGAGUAAUGUCUGGGAAACUGCCUGAUGGAGGGGGAUAACUACUGGAAACGGUAGCUAAUACCGCAUAACGUCGCAAGACCAAAGUGGGGGACCUUCGGGCCUCAUGCCAUCAGAUGUGCCCAGAUGGGAUUAGCUGGUAGGUGGGGUAACGGCUCACCUAGGCGACGAUCCCUAGCUGGUCUGAGAGGAUGACCAGCCACACUGGAACUGAGACACGGUCCAGACUCCUACGGGAGGCAGCAGUGGGGAAUAUUGCACAAUGGGCGCAAGCCUGAUGCAGCCAUGCCGCGUGUGUGAAGAAGGCCUUCGGGUUGUAAAGCACUUUCAGCGGGGAGGAAGGCGGUGAGGUUAAUAACCUCACCGAUUGACGUUACCCGCAGAAGAAGCACCGGCUAACUCCGUGCCAGCAGCCGCGGUAAUACGGAGGGUGCAAGCGUUAAUCGGAAUUACUGGGCGUAAAGCGCACGCAGGCGGUCUGUCAAGUCGGAUGUGAAAUCCCCGGGCUCAACCUGGGAACUGCAUUCGAAACUGGCAGGCUAGAGUCUUGUAGAGGGGGGUAGAAUUCCAGGUGUAGCGGUGAAAUGCGUAGAGAUCUGGAGGAAUACCGGUGGCGAAGGCGGCCCCCUGGACAAAGACUGACGCUCACGCGCGAAAGCGUGGGGAGCAAAAAAGAUUAGGUACCCUGGUAGUCCACGCUGUAAAC
rnacentral:rRNA from 1 species